rnacentral:rRNA from 1 species
UGGGGAAUUUUGGACAAUGGGCGAAAGCCUGAUCCAGCAAUGCCGCGUGUGUGAAGAAGGCCUUCGGGUUGUAAAGCACUUUUGUCCGGAAAGAAAUCCUUGGCUCUAAUACAGUCGGGGGAUGACGGUACCGGAAGAAUAAGCGCCGGCUAACUACGUGCCAGCAGCCGCGGUAAUACGUAGGGUGCAAGCGUUAAUCGGAAUUACUGGGCGUAAAGCGUGCGCAGGCGGUUUGCUAAGACCGAUGUGAAAUCCCCGGGCUCAACCUGGGAACUGCAUUGGUGACUGGCAGGCUAGAGUAUGGCAGAGGGGGGUAGAAUUCCACGUGUAGCAGUGAAAUGCGUAGAGAUGUGGAGGAAUACCGAUGGCGAAGGCAGCCCCCUGGGCCAAUACUGACGCUCAUGCACGAAAGCGUGGGGAGCAAACAGGAUUAGAUACCCUGGUAGUCCACGCCCUAAACGAUGUCAACUAGUUGUUGGGGAUUCAUUUCCUUAGUAACGUAGCUAACGCGUGAAGUUGACCGCCUGGGGAGUACGGUCGCAAGAUUAAAACUCAAAGGAAUUG